UGGAAAGUUUGUUAAGAGCUCUGUC
rnacentral:misc_RNA from 1 species